CAGUAGCCGCGGGAAUACGGAGGGUGCAAGCGUUACUCGGAAUCACUGGGCGUAAAGGACGCGUAGGCGGAUUAUCAAGUCUCUUGUGAAAUCUAACGGCUCAACCGUUAAACUGCUUGGGAAACUGAUAAUCUAGAGUAAGGGAGAGGCAGAUGGAAUUCUUGGUGUAGGGGUAAAAUCCGUAGAUAUCAAGAAGAAUACCUAUUGCGAAGGCGAUCUGCUGGAACUUAACUGACGCUAAUGCGUGAAAGCGUGGGGAGCAAACAGGAUUAGAUACCCCCGUAGUCCCUGUCUCUUAUAC
rnacentral:rRNA from 1 species